rnacentral:lncRNA from 1 species
CAUGGAUGCGUCUUUGAGAGACGGAUUAACUUUCCAACGCCCGGGCGGCCGGCAGACGAACCUUGCUUAAAACUGACCCUGGAUUGGUUGACGUGAACACGCACGGAGGGUAUGGAUGGUGUACAGUGAUACCAGUGAGGAUGAAGCUACCAUUUCAUCCCUGAUUUUACAUACUACAUCGGUUAAAGGCCCAGUGCAAGAAGAGUUCGUUCUUUCCAAGCGAGCUUGAUAGAAGAGUUAACCAAAUAAGCAUUUUGGAACAACCACCACAUUAUCGUGUCCACAUUUUAGAAGAAAGGAGAACAUUGGAAAACAUAUUUUGAUAAAACACUAUGC